rnacentral:rRNA from 1 species
AGGGAAUUUUCCGCAAUGGACGAAAGUCUGACGGAGCAACGCCGCGUGAGUGAGGACGGUCUUCGGAUUGUAAAACUCUGUUCUCUCGGAAGAGCAUCUUAGAGCUGAAUAGGUUCUAAGAUCCGACGGUACGAGAGGAGAAAGCCCCGGCUAACUACGUGCCAGCAGCCGCGGUAAUACGUAGGGGGCAAGCGUUGUCCGGAUUUAUUGGGCGUAAAGGGCGCGUAGGCGGCCUCUUAAGUCAGUUGUGAAGGGUCCCGGCGCAACCGGGGAGUUGCAGCUGAAACUGGGAGGCUUGAGUGCAGGAGAGGAGAGCGGAAUUCUCGGUGUAGCGGUGGAAUGCGUAGAGAUCGGGAGGAACACCAGUGGCGAAGGCGGCUCUCUGGCCUGUUACUGACGCUGAGGCGCGAAAGCGUGGGGAGCGAAC